rnacentral:sRNA from 1 species
CUUCGUUGCAUCCUCGCGACUAAUGACAACCCUAACCCUUCAUGGGUAAAGCCUCUCAUUAGCCGCGCGAACCUCUGCAAUGAAGAACAUCUACAACAACAAUACAUUAUACCCGUUAUCUUUCAAAAUACCGCUGCGUUAGCAACGUGCGUUGUAAAUUCAUUUACG